rnacentral:rRNA from 1 species
AUGCUGGUCAUGUGGGAGUUGUGGAAGCAUCGCAAUGCGAUUGUCUUUGAUGGUGCAACGCCAUCCCUGAGACAUAUCAUGACCCAAGUAGAAGCGGAAGGGCGUGCUUGGCUACGGGCUGGCCGCCUCGCAGGGGAUUAUGACGCACUAGGGGGGGCUUGUCUAGGUGGGUAG